UGGACACCAGAGACAACCUCUUUGUGGCUGAGUACAACACAGAUAAAGUGAAGAAAAUACAAUAUCUGAUGUAAACAUACUGUGUGUGUAUACAUGUAUUGUAAGUAAAAUGUCUGUGUAUAUUAUAUGUAAACAAACUGUGUGUGUAUUGUAUGUAUAUAUGUCAACAAACCAUGUGCAAGUAUUAUGUGUAUCCGAAACAAAUUGUAUGUACAUGAAUUGUUUGUAAACAAACUAUUUUGUUCUAUAUGUAUACAAACUAUGUACACGUAAUAUGCAUUUUAUUUAUAAGAAAAACUCUGUAUAUAUUGUUGUUCAUCAUAUGUAAACACACUAUAGGUUCUGUAUGUAAAUAGAAUGUGUGUGUAUGAUACAUGUAUGUAAACAAAAUACAUAUUUCUGUAAAUCAUCACUAAUUGUAAAUUAAGGAAACAUAUUUCUUUAAGUAAUUUGUAAUGUACGUGUGUGUUUUGACUGCAGUUGGAGUUGGAUGUAUAAAAGUAUUUCUUUAUUAAAAUUAAAAAUCC
rnacentral:misc_RNA from 1 species